AUGAUGGAGCGAGCGCUGCCCCGCUCUGGCCUGGUGGGUUCAGCUGCCCUCCAUCUCAGCUCCCACAGCACCCCUCCCACCUUCUUAGGCAAGGCCAGCUGGGCAAGGCCUUUAGAACCAGAGGACUCCAGGCCUGCCUGCUGGCACCAGCAGACAGAACAAGGGCUCAAGAGGAGCGGGGAGUCCCCUGAACACGAGGUCUGCUGCUGUGCCCCUCUGGCCGCCUGCCUUGCACUAGCCGCCUACUCUGGGCAUGCGGCUCCAGGAGGCACACUGCAGUCUCCCUCUUGUUUCCAGUGCGGCCGUGGCUGGAGCACUCUCUGCCUCCCUGCUUCUCCCCACCACAUGCCCUGCAGCUCACCGCCUGACCUCCCCGGAAGAGCGGCUGCCAAAAGCAGAGCCCAGGCCCCUGAGCCCAAGGAGCCCCAUCCCCUGCCAGGGCCAGGGUCCCUGAGGGGCCAGGCUCAUCGCUGUUUCCAUGGGGAUGUGUGCACUCUGACCCCAGCCUUUCUCCAUCCCUGGCCAAAUAAAGAGGGCUUCCAAGUGGAAACUGGCAGUCUUAAGCCACCCCUCCUCCCAUGCCCCAGGUGGCCCCUGCCUCCAAGGAGGGGAAGGAAUAGAGGCCCUUCCCCCAGCCCAGGCAGAGCGGGGGGGGGGCCUCCCCGCACCCCACCUUCCCAGCAGCCCCUUCCCAGCCCUGCCCACUCGCUACACUCUCCAGACUUGGAAACUUGCCUUUUCCGAGGUCUGGCUCUGCCUGUGCUCCCCCCUGGCCCGAGGGCCACUUCAGUCUGCUGGGACAGCCACCAGGAGCCAGCAGGCAGCACUGCAAGGCUCCUCAGGGCCACAGUGGCCAACCCUCCGUGGCAUGGGGGUCGCUGUCAGGCAGGGAAGAUAGACAUGUGGACUGAAGCCUGGCUGAGGGGUCUCCCGUCCAAGUCCUGGCUAAGAGGCCUGAGCAGGAGGUUUGUCCACCCUCUCUCCUUCCACCUUGGGGCUGACCCCGCCCCCCCAGAGCCUUCCAGAGGCCUGAAGCAUCUGUCAUCAGAGUCUCAGUGGUCACCUCCAAGAGCAAACCAAAGCCCAAGGCCAGGAUCCGGUCCUGGAGGCAAACACAGACCCUCCUGCCCCCAAAAGCCGCUUCCUGGAGACCCCACCUAG
rnacentral:lncRNA from 1 species